rnacentral:rRNA from 1 species
CCUACGGGUGGCUGCAGUCGAGAAUCUUCGGCAAUGAGCGCAAGCUUGACCGAGCGAUGCCGCGUGCGGGAUGAAGGCCCUCGGGUUGUAAACCGCUGUCGUAGAGGAGUACAAUUCUAGGAGGAAGGACGGGCUAAGUUCGUGCCAGCAGCCGCGGUAAGACGAACCGUCCAAACGUUAUUCGGAAUCACUGGGCUUACAGAGUUCGUAGGCGGUCUGGAAAGUUGGGUGUGAAAUCCCUCGGCUCAACCGAGGAACUGCGCUCAAAACUACCCGACUCGAGGGAGAUAGAGGAAAGCGGAACUGAUGGUGGAGCGGUGAAAUGCGUUGAUAUCAUCAGGAACACCGGUGGCGAAGGCGGCUUUCUGGGUCUUCCUGACGCUGAGGAACGAAAGCUAGGGGAGCGAACGGGAUUAGAUACCCUUGUAGUC